AGUGAACGCUGGCGGUAGGCCUAACACAUGCAAGUCGAACGGCAGCACAGUAAGAGCUUGCUCUUACGGGUGGCGAGUGGCGGACGGGUGAGGAAUACAUCGGAAUCUACUUUUUCGUGGGGGAUAACGUAGGGAAACUUACGCUAAUACCGCAUACGACCUACGGGUGAAAGCAGGGGAUCUUCGGACCUUUCGCGAUUGAAUGAGCCGAUGUCGGAUUAGCUAGUUGGCGGGGUAAAGGCACACCAAGGCUACGAUCCGUAGCGGGUCUGAGAGGAGGAUCAGCCACACUGGAACUGAGACACGGUCCAGACUCCUACGGGAGGCCGCAGUGGGGACUAUUGGACAAUGGGCGCAAGCCUGAUCCAGCCAUACCGCGUGGGUGAAGAAGGCCUUCGGGUUGUAAAGCCCUUUUGUUGGGAAAGAAAAGCAGCAGGUUAAUACCCCGCUGUUCUGACGGUACCCAAAGAAUAAGCACCGGCUAACUUCGUG
rnacentral:rRNA from 1 species